GACCUUUGGGCCUUUACAUCGGUCCAACAUUCAACCGAUGGGAAAAGUUAAAUGAGAUUCUUCCAAAAACCCUAUCUCUACUUCAGCACUAGUACUGCAACACAUCUUUUAUUUCUUCUUCUUCUUCGAGUGCGGCGCCGAACCAUACUAUCAGACUCUAUUUUGUUCUUUCGUUCUUUCUUUCGAUUUCGAUCUCUCAAACUAACUCCAAUCUCUUUCUUUCGUUUUCUCUCUAAAUCUCUCGAUCUAGCUCGAAGAACUACUCUGUGAAUUCAAGAUCUACAUUCUCCAAGCAGCCAUGGAAGAUAAACUAAUUGAUAUGCUUACUGAAACGUUCAAUCGCUUUGUUAUUGACUGCAAUUUGAAUUCCUCAACAGAUCGACUUCUUUUCAAGCUAGUUUGUUGAAGAACUAUCUUGAUAAGAAAGCAGUGGAUGCUCUACAAAUUCUAAGGAAAAAGUUAUCAGAAAAUGAGUCGAAGUAGAAUAUCAAAUUAAAAUUCCAGUAAGAGAAUUUAGUUUGACAGGUGAAUAAGCUUUAAUAAUCUGAUGUUAAAGAUGCUUUGGUUUUUGGCAUGGGGGUAUGCAUUGAUUAUUUACUUUGUUACUUUUUUCUUUCACAUUAUGCCAAAAUCUGAACUUAUUGAAAAUGACUUGCUGUGUCAACCAUAACCGAGAUAUUGUAAACAAUGGUGUCAUUUGAUAUUCAAGACAACAGCCUUAGGAACUAUAAUGUGCAAAUAACCAAGCAAGUGUAUCAUCAGCACAUCAAGCAAGUGUAUGAUCAACACAACAACAUAUGUACAGAGACCGUUUCUUGCUUGU